GGAUGUGAGGGUGAUCUGGCUGCACCAUCUGUCACCCCACUGAUCGCCAGGGUUGAUUCGGCUGAUCUGGCUGGCUAGGCGGGUGUCCCCUUCCUCCCUCACUGCUCCAUGUGCAUCCCUCCCGAAGCUGCAUGCUCGGUCGAAGAGGACGGCCUUCCUGAAAUAGAGACGAACCGAACCGGGCUUCAGUCGAGGGUAUAUGAGUAGCUGCGCUCCCCUGCUAGAACCUCCAAACAAGCUCUAAGGUCCUAUCCAACAACAACAACAUCAGUAACAACAACAAUAAUAACUAUAACAAU
rnacentral:snRNA from 1 species